AACAUUUGUUUUGGAUAAAAAGUGAGUUACAUCAGUUAUUAACUCAACAUGUAAAUGCAGUAUAUCACAGAUACAUGACAGAGGAGACUGACUCUUGUCUGGAUGUUACAGGGACAGAUGAGACACAUGUGUGUUUAUCUGCUGUAGAGUAACUGAUGAAGAAAUGCUGCCAUCAAAAAGGAUUUAUCUUUUUUGGUGCAGCAGGACCUGCAAGGAAAGGUGAAAAAGAAGGAAAACCUGAAACAAAAGAAUAAUGUAGUCGUGCUCAUGGAGAGCAGGCACACGAAAGUUUGGAGCAGACACAGCAGUCAGAUUGUCCGGCACGUGUUCUUCUGCUCUAGCUUCAAGGUUGUGUGGUUCAGAGAGCCGUCAUCAAGGUCUUCUUCAUCCUGUUGCUCAACGACAUCCCCGUUGAGAAGAGUGAGAUUGUGAAGUGCAGAAGCAGAACUGUAUCAGCUGCGUUCAGAUGGCAGGAGGAUGUUGGGUUCACCAUCUGUAAAUACAUGUUUGUUAGAACAAUAAGUUUGAAUGAAGCUUUGUAUCAUGUGUUGUUGACUUGUACAUGUAUGCAUUUAUUGUGAUGCUAACUUUUAUACAU